rnacentral:rRNA from 1 species
CUCCUACGGGAGGCAGCAGUGGGGAAUAUUGCACAAUGGGGGAAACCCUGAUGCAGCGACGCCGCGUGAAGGAAGAAGUAUCUCGGUAUGUAAACUUCUAUCAGCAGGGAAGAUAAUGACGGUACCUGACUAAGAAGCCCCGGCUAACUACGUGCCAGCAGCCGCGGUAAUACGUAGGGCGCAAGCGUUAUCCGGAUUUAUUGGGCGUAAAGGGCUCGUAGGCGGCUCGUCGCGUCCGGUGUGAAAGUCCAUCGCUUAACGGUGGAUCUGCGCCGGGUACGGGCGGGCUGGAGUGCGGUAGGGGAGACUGGAAUUCCCGGUGUAACGGUGGAAUGUGUAGAUAUCGGGAAGAACACCGAUGGCGAAGGCAGGUCUCUGGGCCGUCACUGACGCUGAGGAGCGAAAGCGUGGGGAGCGAACAGGAUUAGAUACCCUGGUAGUCCACGCCGUAAACGGUGGACGCUGGAUGUGGGGCACGUUCCACGUGUUCCGUGUCGGAGCUAACGCGUUAAGCGUCCCGCCUGGGGAGUACGGCCGCAAGGCUAAAACUCAAAGAAAUUGACGGGGGCCCGCACAAGCGGCGGAGCAUGCGGAUUAAUUCGAUGCAACGCGAAGAACCUUACCUGGGCUUGACAUGUUCCCGACGACGCCAGAGAUGGCGUUUCCCUUCGGGGCGGGUUCACAGGUGGUGCAUGGUCGUCGUCAGCUCGUGUCGUGAGAUGUUGGGUUAAGUCCCGCAACGAGCGCAACCCUCGCCCCGUGUUGCCAGCACGUUAUGGUGGGAACUCACGGGGGACCGCCGGGGUUAACUCGGAGGAAGGUGGGGAUGACGUCAGAUCAUCAUGCCCCUUACGUCCAGGGCUUCACGCAUGCUACAAUGGCCGGUACAGCGGGAUGCGACAUGGCGACAUGGAGCGGAUCCCUGAAAACCGGUCUCAGUUCGGAUCGGAGCCUGCAACCCGGCUCCGUGAAGGCGGAGUCGCUAGUAAUCGCGGAUCAGCAACGCCGCGGUGAAUGCGUUCCCGGGCCUUGUACACACCGC